GGAGGCCAUUUUAGAGGUGGGGAAACUGAGGCGCGAAUUGCCCACGGUCACCCAGCAGACCAGUGACAGAACUGGGUUUAGAACCCAGGUCUCCCGAGUCCCAGUCUAAUGCUCAAACUACUAGGCCGCUAGGCCCCAUCUUUGUUGUUAAACUUGGCACCUGGCCCAUACGUAACCUGAACAAAGCAUCUGCUUGGCUUUCUCUGAAUAUGUUUGGUUUUGAAGUCGUCUGGGUUCAAUUGCAACGCUUGUCCUCAGUAGGUGCAGUUCUGACAUAGAUACACUAUGUAGCGCCAUCUCCUAACUAAAACAGCUGGGGUCAUCUGUUUGUGCUCUCUGGGAAUUGAUCAGCCAUGUGGUACGGCUUGGAAAAGGAGGAUGUGUUUUGGACCUAGGGUUAAUUUUUUUUUUUUUUUUUUUUUUUUUGGCAGUUGUUCUUCAACAUGUUUCUACAUAUCUGCUAAGGAACUCAAACACUGCAUUGCUGUUAACUCUAGAGAGAGGAUAUAUGAUUGGUGGGAUCACAUAAGAUCUACAUUAUCCUCCAGCCACCAAGGAAUUGAAGAUCGGGUCCUAUUUAUAUGUCAUAGUGCACGUAUGGAACUGAGAGCUGGAAGAGUGGUUUCUAAAGAUUUCAGCAGGCCGUAGGAUGGGGAGGUACCCCCUUCUUCCUACAGUUGGAGUUCUAUAGUGAUGAUGACUUCUUCGCUGCUGCCCACAAGGUGCUUCAUCUCCUCCAUUGCUCCACAGCCCUCAAAACCAUCAAACAGGGCCUAAUCCUGCAGGGUGCUGACUCCCUCCACCUAUCACUGUUCUAGAGAAUGGCAGGAGCAAAUCCUGAGGAACUGCAGUGACACCUGACUCUCCAGAAGCCAGUGCAAAGGGGGAAUGGCAUAUAUUUGGAAUCACAAUCAGUCUUAAAUGCAAGGGGUUUAAUAAAGAACACAGUGCUAACUAUAGACCA
rnacentral:lncRNA from 1 species